rnacentral:rRNA from 1 species
GUAUCAUGGCUCAGGAUGAACGCUAGCUACAGGCUUAACACAUGCAAGUCGAGGGGCAGCAUUUUAGUUUGCUUGCAAACUAAAGAUGGCGACCGGCGCACGGGUGAGUAACACGUAUCCAACCUGCCGAUAACUCGGGGAUAGGCCUUUCGAAAGAAAGAUUAAUAUCCGAUAGUAUAUUUUACUCCGCAUGGCGAGAAUAUUAAAGAAAUUUCGGUUAUCGAUGGGGAUGCGUUCCAUUAGUUUGUUGGG